AGUGAACGCUGGCGGUAGGCCUAACACAUGCAAGUCGAACGGCAGCACAGUAAGAGCUUGCUCUUACGGGUGGCGAGUGGCGGACGGGUGAGGAAUACAUCGGAAUCUACUUUUUCGUGGGGGAUAACGUAGGGAAACUUACGCUAAUACCGCAUACGACCUACGGGUGAAAGCAGGGGAUCUUCGGACCUUGCGCGAUUGAAUGAGCCGAUGUCGGAUUAGCUAGUUGGCGGGGUAAAGGCCCACCAAGGCGACGAUCCGUAGCUGGUCUGAGAGGAUGAUCAGCCACACUGGAACUGAGACACGGUCCAGACUCCUACGGGAGGCAGCAGUGGGGAAUAUUGGACAAUGGGCGCAAGCCUGAUCCAGCCAUACCGCGUGGGUGAAGAAGGCCUUCGGGUUGUAAAGCCCUUUUGUUGGGAAAGAAAAGCAGCAGGUUAAUACGCCGCUGUGCUGACGGUACCCAAAGAAUAAGCACCGGCUAACUUCGUG
rnacentral:rRNA from 1 species